rnacentral:rRNA from 1 species
GGGUGACUGCGUACCUUUUGUAUAAUGGGUCAGCGACUUAUAUUCUGUAGCAAGGUUAACCGUAUAGGGGAGCCGCAGGGAAACCGAGUCUUAACUGGGCGUUAAGUUGCAGGGUAUAGACCCGAAACCCGGUGAUCUAGCCAUGGGCAGGUUGAAGGUUGGGUAACACUAACUGGAGGACCGAACCGACUAAUGUUGAAAAAUUAGCGGAUGACUUGUGGCUGGGGGUGAAAGGCCAAUCAAACCGGGAGAUAGCUGGUUCUCCCCGAAAGCUAUUUAGGUAGCGCCUCGUGAAUUCAUCUUCGGGGGUAGAGCACUGUUUCGGCUAGGGGGUCAUCCCGACUUACCAACCCGAUGCAAACUACGAAUACCGAAGAAUGUUAUCACGGGAGACACACGGCGGGUGCUAACGUCCGUCGUGAAGAGGGAAACAACCCAGACCGCCAGCUAAGGUCCCAAAGUCAUGGUUAAGUGGGAAACGAUGUGGGAAGGCCCAGACAGCCAGGAUGUUGGCUUAGAAGCAGCCAUCAUUUAAAGAAAGCGUAAUAGCUCACUGGUCGAGUCGGCCUGCGCGGAAGAUGUAACGGGGCUAAACCAUGCACCGAAGCUGCGGCAGCGACACUAUGUGUUGUUGGGUAGGGGAGCGUUCUGUAAGCCGUUGAAGGUAGCCUGUGAGGGUUGCUGGAGGUAUCAGAAGUGCGAAUGCUGACAUAAGUAACGAUAAUGCGGGUGAAAAACCCGCACGCCGGAAGACCAAGGGUUCCUGUCCAACGUUAAUCGGGGCAGGGUGAGUCGACCCCUAAGGCGAGGCCGAAAGGCGUAGUCGAUGGGAAACAGGUUAAUAUUCCUGUACUCGGUGUUACUGCGAAGGGGGGACGGAGAAGGCUAUGUUGGCCGGGCGACGGUUGUCCCGGUUUAAGCGUGUAGGUGUGUGUUCCAGGUAAAUCCGGUUCACUAUUAACACUGAGGCGUGAUGACGAGGCACUACGGUGCUGAAGUGACAAAUGCCCUGCUUCCAGGAAAAGCCUCUAAGCAUCAGGUAACAUCAAAUCGUACCCCAAACCGACACAGGUGGUCAGGUAGAGAAUACCAAGGCGCUUGAGAGAACUCGGGUGAAGGAACUAGGCAAAAUGGUGCCGUAACUUCGGGAGAAGGCACGCUGAUGGUAAGUGAAGCGACUUGCUCGUGGAGCUGAAAUCAGUCGAAGAUACCAGCUGGCUGCAACUGUUUAUUAAAAACACAGCACUGUGCAAACACGAAAGUGGACGUAUACGGUGUGACGCCUGCCCGGUGCCGGAAGGUUAAUUGAUGGGGUUAUCCGUAAGGAGAAGCUCUUGAUCGAAGCCCCGGUAAACGGCGGCCGUAACUAUAACGGUCCUAAGGUAGCGAAAUUCCUUGUCGGGUAAGUUCCGACCUGCACGAAUGGCGUAAUGAUGGCCAGGCUGUCUCCACCCGAGACUCAGUGAAAUUGAACUCGCUGUGAAGAUGCAGUGUACCCGCGGCAAGACGGAAAGACCCCGUGAACCUUUACUAUAGCUUGACACUGAACACUGGUCCUUGAUGUGUAGGAUAGGUGGGAGGCUUUGAAGUGUGGACGCCAGUCUGCAUGGAGCCAUCCUUGAAAUACCACCCUUUAAUGGCUGGUGUUCUAACGUGGGCCCCUAAUCGGGGUUGCGGACAGUGUCUGGUGGGUAGUUUGACUGGGGCGGUCUCCUCCUAAAGAGUAACGGAGGAGCACGAAGGUCAGCUAAUCCUGGUCGGACAUCAGGAGGUUAGUGCAAUGGCAUAAGCUGGCUUGACUGCGAGCGUGACGGCGCGAGCAGGUGCGAAAGCAGGUCAUAGUGAUCCGGUGGUUCUGAAUGGAAGGGCCAUCGCUCAACGGAUAAAAGGUACUCCGGGGAUAACAGGCUGAUACCGCCCAAGAGUUCAUAUCGACGGCGGUGUUUGGCACCUCGAUGUCGGCUCAUCACAUCCUGGGGCUGAAGUAGGUCCCAAGGGUAUGGCUGUUCGCCAUUUAAAGUGGUACGCGAGCUGGGUUUAGAACGUCGUGAGACAGUUCGGUCCCUAUCUGCCGUGGGCGCUGGAGAAUUGAGGGGGGCUGCUCCUAGUACGAGAGGACCGGAGUGGACGCAUCACUGGUGUUCGGGUUGUCAUGCCAAUGGCAUUGCCCGGUAGCUAAAUGCGGAAGAGAUAAGUGCUGAAAGCAUCUAAGCACGAAACUUGCCCCGAGAUGAGUUCUCCCUGACCCUUUAAGGGUCCUGAAGGAACGUUGAAGACGACGACGUUGAUAGGCCGGGUGUGUAAGCGCAGCGAUGCGUUGAGCUAACCGGUACUAAUGAACCGUGAGGCUUAACCUUACAACGCCGAAG